UGGGGAAUUUUCCGCAAUGGGCGAAAGCCUGACGGAGCAACGCCGCGUGGAUGAUGAAGCCUUUCGGGGCGUAAAAUCCUUUCAGCAGGGACGAAAAAAAUGACGGUACCUGCAGAAGAAGCAUCGGCUAACUACGUGCCAGCAGCCGCGGUAAUACGUAGGAUGCAAGCGUUGUCCGGAAUUAUUGGGCGUAAAGCGAACGUAGGCGGUUACUUAAGUUUGGUCUUAAAGACCGGGGCUCAACCCCGGGAAUGGACCGAAGACUGGGUGACUCGAGGAUGUUAGAGGAAAGUGGAAUUCCAGGUGUAGCGGUGAAAUGCGUAGAUAUCUGGAGGAACACCGGUGGCGAAAGCGACUUUCUGGGACAUUUCUGACGCUGAGGUUCGAAAGCUCGGGGAGCAAACAG
rnacentral:rRNA from 1 species